UGGCGCCCAACGUGCGGCCAGAGAACGGGGGAUCCAGUGAAGGACGCUGCUCAGGGGCCCUAAGAUUAAGAUUGAGGAACAAAGAGCACACUCGACACAGGAGAGGCUUGCAAUUGACGUAGCCCUGCCGUCUUUUUCGCACCUCGGUAAGUUGAGCAGCGAUUACGGGACAGGGCAUUAGUCGGCAUUAGUCAGCACGAAUUGUUUGUGCAAGGUCUCAAGGAGACAUUAGGCACGAGGGGUAAAGGUUACAGUCAAACAACUGCUGAAAUUUUUUGAUUAUAUUAAGGAUCUCUGUCCCU
rfam:Heterocephalus glaber contig212194, whole genome shotgun sequence.